UUCACAGCAAUGGUAACCCUAAGUAAGAAA
rnacentral:piRNA from 1 species